CGCAAGCCUGAUGCAGCCAUGCCGCGUGUAUGAAGAAGGCCUUCGGGUUGUAAAGUACUUUCAGCAGUGAGGAAGGUGGGUAUGUUAAUAGCAUACUCAUUUGACGUUAGCUGCAGAAGAAGCACCGGCUAACUCCGUGCCAGCAGCCGCGGUAAUACGGAGGGUGCGAGCGUUAAUCGGAAUUACUGGGCGUAAAGCGCAUGCAGGUGGUUUGUUAAGUCAGAUGUGAAAGCCCGGGGCUCAACCUCGGAAUUGCAUUUGAAAACUGGCAAACUAGAGUACUGUAGAGGGGGUAGAAUUUCAGGUGUAGCGGUGAAAUGCGUAGAGAUCUGAAGGAAUACCGGUGGCGAAGGCGGCCCCCUGGACAGAUACUGACACUCAGAUGCGAAAGCGUGGGGAGCAAACAGGAUUAGAUACCCUGGUAG
rnacentral:rRNA from 1 species